rnacentral:rRNA from 1 species
GACGAACGCUGGCGGCGUGCUUAACACAUGCAAGUCGAACGGUGAACCUCUUCGGAGGGGCUCAGUGGCGAACGGGUGAGUAACACGUGGGCAACCUGCCCCCGGCCCUGGGAUUACUCCAAGAAAUUGGGGCUAAUACCGGAUGUUCACCGCUUCCCGCAUGGGUGGUGGUGAAAAGGGUGUCCGGCGGGGGUUGGGCCCGCGGCCCAUCAGCUUGUUGGUGGGGUAGUGUCUUACCAGGGCGAGGACGGGUAGCGGGCCUGGGGGGGGAACGGGCCAAACGGGGACGAGGACACGGCCCAGAUUCUUACGGGGGGAAGAGGGGGGGAAUAUGGCGCAAGGGGCGAAGGCCGAACGCGGCGACGCCGGGUGGGGGAUGACGGCCUUCGGGUGGUAAACGUCUUUCAGCAGGGACGAGGCGCAAGUGAGGGUACGGGCAGAAGAAGCACCGGCCAACUACGU